GUUCUCGUGGUGUAGUUGGUUAUCACAUCCGCCUAACACGCGAAAGGUCUGCGGUUCGAACCCGCACGAGAACA
rnacentral:tRNA from 1 species